GCACGCGCACACCGCCGCCGGGGGGGGCGGGGCGGCGCUCAGUGGGGCCGCGGGCGGCCGGCGGGUUUCGGGGGGUACAGCCCUGGUCCAGGCGCUCCUAUCGCCUGCUGCUGGCGAGUGGGAACCCCACAGCCGUCCCCCCCCCCCAAGAGUGGCCCCAAGUGCAAGCAGAAGGGCCGGAUGUUGGAGGAAAACUGGUGAGGAGGCAGAGGCAGAGGCAGGCAGUGAGGUGGAGAAGGCAGCGCUGAGCAGAUGGACCGGGCGGUGAAGCUUUGGGUAGUGAAGACGUGGGCUUUAACUCAAGCGGCCAACUACACUGAACACUGGGAACAAAGCAAUUUGCAGUAGAACGUUAUUUAAUAGGAAUGAAGAACCCGCCCUUUUUCUUGAAUACAAAUUGUAAGAAGUGCGGGGGAUUUCGUUGGAAGAGACUUACUGGAUAAAGUGAGAAAUCUUGGCGUAUUGAGAAGACUAUGGGGAGGACUAAUGUUUUGCUGUUGAUACACUUCCCCUGCAAAAUCUUGGGAAAGAUUUUGUAGGGGAAAGACAGUGCCUUACCAUUUUUAGGUGCUUCUGGGUGGAGAAAUUGUGUGGGUUGGGAAUUGUAGCGUAGAAAUUCUCGUGGCAGGGAGGUGGUAGGACAGGGGUCUCUGCAUGUCUGGGGUUUAGGUUACUGAGUGCAUUUGACCAGAAAACCUAUUUUCUCCAUUGACAUUAGGGAGAAAAAAAAAUAUAUGCUAUCGGCUCUGGCACACAAUGGGAGGAAAAGGAAGGAUGACUGUUCAGUACUGGGGUUCCCAUCCUUCAUUCCUUCCUUCUCUUGUCCUUGUAGCGACAAGGUAUUCACAGGACUCAAGCAGCAAACCUGGGACGAGGUCUUCAGGCAGAAUUCACAGAUUCGUUGGAAUCUGACAGGGCCGCACCACGAGCACUUCUCCAGUGGGGUUCCUGUCAGAGCACACCUUGGCUGUUGGGGCCUACCCCUACACAUGGGGUUGUCAGGGCUUGAGAUCAGCACUGACUGCAUUUCUGGGUCUAGGUCAGGUGCAGAAAAAACUCGACGGAGUAUUGAUGUGCUGUAAUGGCCUUUGGAAGCCUUGCAGGUGGGGUGGAUAAGAGCUGCAUCCUGUCAUACAAUCUCAAACUGUACCAGUGUACAAUAUGCCAUUCAUUUUGACAAAUUUCCUUGUUUCCUGGGGUUCCUAAGACUUAUUAACAAAUUGCUAGCCAGCAAGCAAGACAGUGACAUGUCAAAGAGCAUAGUAGGAUAUCUCCUUCUGUUUCUGCCCUCUGAUUUGAGCUCUGUAUCUUUGGGCAGCUUAUAUUACAUGUAGGUACCGUAUCGUUCCAAGUUGUAAAAUAGUUGUUGUGAUAUUUUUCUACUUUGGGUUGUUGUGGUGUUUGAAUUGUUGUUUUAAGAAUAGAUCCUCUCAUAAAAGGUUCCAUAAAAAUGGAAAAUGUUGUUAAUCGCAACUUUCUGGAGUGCCUCUUCUUACGAAGAGCUGCAGACGCUACAAACAGUAUUUGCAUUGGUUAAGGAGUGCCUCAUCAACAUCUUGCAGACAAAAAGAAGUGUACAGUAAACACUAGUUUGUGAGGAAUUUACAAUUACAAACUGUGUGUCUGUCUGAUGUUUCUUUCCAUUAGUGGUUAUUGUUUUAUUGGCAAGCUUCUAUUAAGAGAAAUCUUCAUCUCAAAUUCUCAGACUAAUGCAUUUCAUGGAAGCAAAAAAUAUUUUCAGUCUCUUGCAGAAAUUAGAAUGUUUCUGCCAAAGGACCUUUGACUGCAAAGGAACAGGAAAAAAUGUUGUUUCUUUUUUUUCUACAUUUUAUUCCACUUGGAUUUACUCUUUUUUUUUAAUCUAAAUUUGGACACUAUUAUAAAGGCAAAGGGAGAGUCAUUUAAAAAUAUUUAUUGGCUUAUUAAAUUGAACUGCUUUGCUGCUGUAGAGCCAAGCUUUAUAGAAUCUGCACUGUAGAAGUGUAAUAUUUCCUUAACAGAAGAUAUAAAAUCAGUUUUGCUCUAAUUUUCAAGGAUAAUAGAUGGUUAAUUAUAAAAAUAAUGGAAGUAAUUUAAUCCCCUGCAUAUUCAAAACUUAUAGUCUUAUCCUUGUAAAACAUGAGACUAUCACCAGCCACAUGAAACACAUUAAUUGGCUACUUCUUGUGUGAUUAGCAGUGAAAAAUAUAGCAUAGGCACUUUGAAGCUUACUUAAGAUAACUGGUAGUCUGUUAAUACAAAUUAACUGGGCUGGAUGACAUGGUUUUAUCCAGUGUUGUAAGAUGAAGGUAAUAUUCAAUUACUUUUAAAAAUCAGGACAUUAAACAUGAAGAAAGGAAAUACUUGGUCAUACAACACAUGAGUAAUGGUGCUGCUCAUUGCCACAGGUGGCAAUAAAUAUUUUAAAAGGCACAGAUAUUUAUAUAGAUCUGAAAAAUAUCCAGGGUUUUCAUAAUUAAUGACCAUUUGGAAGGGAUAUUAAAUCUUGUGUUUCAGGGCAUAAAGCAAUCUUGAUUAGAUAUCAGGAUCAAGGGACAUAUUACUCAAUGUGUGCUUACUACAGCUUUUGUGAGCUAUCCUAUAAAGCUUCUGGUUCUGACCAAGAACAAGAAGUACCCCUGUGUGAUCUCUGUUAGAAAUGCCAAUGCUUUGCCUGCACUUGUAAUGCAGUGUUACUUCUGAACAAAAGUCUAAUGUGGAUGUAGUCAGAGGAACUAGAUUAUUUUUUAAACAAAGGCUAAGGUUGAAUCUAUAUUUAAGAGUUUAGCUCACGUAGCUGUGUUUGGUUAGGAUGUGAAAAAAAUCAUGUCAUAGUUAACAAUGCAGGGAAAACUGUGUUGUAAACAUGGUUACACCAGUCCUGCAAACAUGAGUUAUAGCAGCAAAAGAACUUGCACCAAUAUGGGUUUGCUAACAGCUGUACAAGUGAACUGUUUCUACUGUAGACAAGACAUUCUGUGCAAACCAGAAAAGUCCAUGCUGAAACAGCAGGGAGACCCAUGGGUUCCAAGGAUAAUAAUUUUUUUCCUCUUGUCUGUGGAUUUCUAUUGACCCUGCCCUGGAUCUAUUCUAUAUAGUAUUCUACGUGCACAUCUAUCUCAGUUCGUAGAAAAACAGGAGGCAAAAAUGUAGUUAACAGAAUUUAUUGUUUGAAAUACCAUACUCAUGUGAUUUUGAGUGAACCCUUUUAAGUGGCCAUUUUCAAUACCGUAAUUUAAUAAAAUAUUUAUAGGGGAUAGAAUAGACUGGAUUCCUCACAUUUUAAUAUCCUUCUAUCUACAUGCUGCUUAAAAUGGCUUGCCCUGUAAUUGUGGGUAUGGGGGGGCAGACAGUUUAUUAAUGACAAAUGUAACUACUAUAGGACUGCGCCAGCUGAGCAGCAGAACUGUCAUCAGUCCCGGCUCCACUCACCCAUAGCUCCAUCAUCCGCUUUGUCACUUCCUCUUCCUUUGUACCCAGUCCCCUGGGGUUUCAGGGAGUUGCAGUCCAAACUACAGUCAGCACGGUUCUAUGGGACUGCUUCCCCUGUCAUCAUGCACUCCAUCAACCAUCAUGUUUGUUAUGUCCCCUUUCUAUAAAUUUUGAUUAUUAACAAAGGAGAUUUUUUUUGUCGGUCUGUGAGUAUGAGGUGAAAUUGACAUUUAUCACCAUUUACCAAUAAAAGUCGAAUCCUGCCAAACCUAAUUAUUAGAGGUACACCAAUAUAUCAGUCCGUAUCUUAUCGGCACUGAUAAAAGAAAAAUUGAUGUUAUUGGCAAUCGGCUUUUUUUGGCCAGUGUAGCCAGUAAUGUCACUGAUAAACGCCAUGUGCAUAGCCGCAGCAUGCUGUGCCCAGGAAUAUAGCUGGGCAGCUGGUAAGUCUUUGGGAAGGAAGGGGCGUGGGGGGGUGCAGAUCAGGGCCCCCAUGGUGAGGGAGGGAAUGGGGCUGAGGCAGGGGCAGAUGCUUCCCAAACAGGGGCGAGGCAGGGCAUGGGACAUAGCCAUGGAUGGCUUGUGUGGGAGGUGGGGCGGCUUCUGCUGCUGUGCGCACCCCCAGGGAAGUCAUGGGGGGCAUGUGCCCCCUGGAUAUGUGCACAGGGACAGGGUGGGCUGUCCUCUGGGCUUUGAGCCAGGGGCUGCGCUGGCCUUUUCUCAGUGGGGGGCUGGGCCAGGGCUGCAGUCAGGAUAGGUGGGGGCAGUGCUGGGAGGGGGGGCUAUGGGUAAUUUUGGGGUGGCUGUAGUCCACCCUGUAGCCUCCCUUAGUAGUGCCUGCCCGUGCCUCAGCCUCACUCCUUCCCUCACUGUAGGGGCCUCAAUCUGUCCCCUUCAUGCCCCUUUCCUUACAUACACCCCUUCCCCACUACAGACUGACCAGCCAGACGCUGCUCUCCAAGCUGCCAGGCUGCAUAUCAGCUAUCGGACUGGUAUCAUCCGAUAUGUCUGGUUAAUAAUCAGCCAUUGAUAUCGGCCAAAAAAACCUUUAUCGGUGCACUCCUACUAAUUAUAACUUACUUGCUUGUUCUGUUGAUAUGUUCUGAUAUGUGUUGCAUGUUAAUAUAAUAGUUUUUUCAGUAAGAUCACAUGUUGUACAACUGUAACUAAAGUAAUUGCAGCUUAGUCAUUUUCAAUCCAGGAUUUUUAAUUAUAUACAGGUCUCAUAAUAACAGGAUAGCUACCAUAAAGAAGACUUAAGUAGCCACAAGUGUUUAAAGCACCUUGCUGAAAUUUAAUUGUAAUAUUAAAUGGAGCAUGCACAGUGUCGUUAAUAAUGAGAAAUAUGUUUAGGCUUUUUUGCCUGAUGGAGACAAAACCUCAUAGUAUUUGCAUUUUUUUUAUUAUUUCCUUCAACUUUUUCUUGAUUUAAGGAGUAUUAUCUGUCUGUAGGAACUCUGAGAAGAUCAAAUUGUCUUUUCUGCUAAGAGAAGGAAAUGGGAUAAAAGUAUUAACAGAAAACUCUACUAAACAUCACUUGCCACUGUCUCUGGCUUUGCUGAGGAAAUUUGUGUUUAUGUAAGUUGCACAAAAUAAACAUACUGGCUUCCUGGUGGUUGCUCACCAGUUAAUCAGAAAACCAAAGCUGCUUACAAUACCUGUAGGAUUGAGCUUUUCAAAGCAGUCAAAGGGAUUUUAAGACACAUUCAAAUGAAGAGAUAACGUGGGUCAUAGGCUGAUUUGAAAAAUCUCAGUCAAAAUAUUUGAUUUGCCAGGGGCACAUUCACAUCAAUCCAGUGUAAAGAAACUUUUAAAAUAAAUAUUUUAUAUGAACAGCAGUCAUCUAGGUGAGAAAAUUAUAAGAAUAAUCAGGAAAUAAGAAACAUGAAAGGCUGAUGCUGAAGUGAACAUGUUAAAAUCACUGAUGGAGCUGACGCUUUAAAAAAACAACAGCAACAGAAUUUUGGUGCAACUGUGUGUCCUAUCAAUACAUGGAAAGGAAAUGAAUAAAAAGAGGAGGGAACAAAUAUUAAAAAUAUUUUUACAGAUUUAAAACACUCAAAGGCAACAGCUUUUUGUUUAAAACAUCUGCAUUAAGUGUUUUUCAUCCAGUUUUGUAACAUCAGAGUUGCAUCAAAACAAGAAAAUAAACUGACCAGUAAUCUAUUUUUAUUGUCCAUGCUAAGCAAAGAACGAAAAGCAAACUAUAUAAAGGUAACACCUUUUUCACUUGUAAUAAUUUUAAACUAUACAUAACUAUGAGGUUUUUUUCUUAUAUAUUUUAACAUCUCUGUCAUUCAAGCAGUAUCAGUUAUUUUCACCUCUCCACAGAAUGCAUUAAAGAAAUAAACCUAGGGAGAAACGAACAACUCCCCAAACUCA